UCCUCUGAAGUUUCCCUCAGGAUAGGUUGCGCUCGGUUGUGACGAGUCUUAUCCGGUAGAACGAAUGAUUAGAGGCCUUGGUGUCGAAACGACCUCAACCUAUUUUCAAACUCCAAAUAGAUGGGAUCCCCGGCUUGCUUGAAAGUGAAGCCGCGGGAAUCGUAUCAGAGUUCAAAGUGGGCCAAUUUUGGUAAGCAGAACAGACGCUGUGGGAUGAACCAAACGCAGAAUUAAGGCGCCUGGAUCGACCCUCAUGUGAAACCAUGAAAGGCCCGUUAGUGUGCUUACGUAAAUUUCUCUGUAUAUGGGUGUUGUGUAUGUGGCCGCAGUUUACCCUUGUGCCCGGGAGGA
rnacentral:misc_RNA from 13 species